AUGAAUUGUGUGUGGGUUUUCCUCUUUGUGGUGGCAACUCCGGGAGGUGUCCUGGCCCAGGUGCAGCUACAAGAGUCAGGUCCAGGACUGGUGAAGCCCUCACAGACCGUAUCUCUCACCUGUGCUGUCUCUGGAUUCUCUUUAACCAGCUAUGGUGUGAACUGGAUCCGACAGGCUCCAGAAAAGGGACUGGAGUGGAUUGGGGUAAUAGCUUAUGAUGGGAAAACAUACUAUAAUCCAGCUCUGAAGUCCCGAGUCAGCAUCACCAGGGACACCUCCAAGAGCCAAGUUUCUUUAAAACUGAGCUCUGUGAAUCCUGAGGACACAGCCGUGUAUUACUGUGCUAGGGACACAGUGAUGGGAAGUGUCCAGUGUGAGGUGAAGCUGGUGGAGACUGGGGGAGAUGUGAGAAAGCCUGCGGGGUCCCUGAGACUCUCCUGUGCAGCCUCUGAAUUCACCUUCAGUGACUACUGGAUGAGCUGGGUCCGCCAGGCUCCAGGGAAGGGCCUGCAGUGGUUGGCAACCAUAAAGUAUGAUAGCGGUAGUAUUUACUACACAGAGUCCGUAAAGGGCCGAUUCACCAUCUCCAGAGACAACUCCAAGAACACAGUCUAUCUUCAAAUGGACAGCCUGAAAGCAGAGGACACGGCCAUGUAUUACUGUGCAAGAGUCUCACAGUGA